AGAGUUUGAUCCUGGCUCAGGAUAAACGCUGGCGGUGUACAUAAGACAUGCAAGUCGAACGGGAGAAGACUGGAAGAUUUAUCUACUAGUUGGACACCGUGGCGGACGGGUGAGUAACACGUAAGCAACCUGCCUAUAAGAGGGGAAUAACAGUGAGAAAUUACUGAUAAUACCGCAUAAGCUGGAGGUAUCGCAUGAUACAUUCAGAAAAGAUUUAUCGCUUAUAGAUGGGCUUGCGUCUGAUUAGCUAGUUGGUGAGAUAACAGCUCACCAAGGCGACGAUCAGUAGCCGGAUUGAGAGGUUGAACGGCCACAUUGGGACUGAGACACGGCCCAGACUCCUACGGGAGGCAGCAGUCGGGAAUAUUGCACAAUGGAGGAAACUCUGAUGCAGUGACACCGCGUAUAGGAAGAAGGUCUUAGGAUUGUAAGCUAUUGUCGUGUGAGAAGAAAAUGACCAUCACAGGAGGAAGCCCUGGCUAAAUAUGUGCCAGCAGCCGCGGUAAUACAUAUGGGGCGAGCGUUAUCCGGAUUUAUUGGGUGUAAAGGGUGCGUAGGCGGGAAAAUAAGUCAGUAUGUGAAAUCCCUCGGCUCAACUGAGGAACUGCAACUGAAACUAUUUUUCUUGAGUGUUGAAGGGGAAAGUGGAAUUCCUAGUGUAGCGGUGAAAUGCGUAGAGAUUAGGAGGAACACCAGUGGCGAAGGCGACUUUCUGGGCAACAACUGACGCUGAGGCACGAAAGUGUGGGGAGCAAACAGGAUUAGAUACCCUGGUAGUCCACACCGUAAACGAUGGAUACUAGGAGUUGGCAAAAAUAUUGUCGGUUCCGCAGUUAACGCAUUAAGUAUCCCACCUGGGGAGUACGACCGCAAGGUUAAAACUCAAAGGAAUUGACGGGGGCCCGCACAAGCAGUGGAGUAUGUGGUUUAAUUCGAAGCAACGCGAAGAACCUUACCAGGGCUUGACAUAUACAGGAAUAUAUAAGAGAUUAUAUAGCUCUACGGAGUCUGUAUACAGGUGGUGCAUGGUUGUCGUCAGCUCGUGUCGUGAGAUGUUGGGUUAAGUCCC
rnacentral:rRNA from 1 species